UGGGGAAUUUUUCGCAAUGGGGGAAACCCUGACGAAGCAACGCCGCGUGGAGGAUGAAGGCCUUCGGGUCGUAAACUCCUGUCGACUGGGAAGAAUGCACCUGACCUAAUACGUCAAAGUGUUGACUGUACCGGUGGAGGAAGCCACGGCUAACUCUGUGCCAGCAGCCGCGGUAAUACAGAGGUGGCAAGCGUUGUUCGGAAUUACUGGGCGUAAAGGGCGCGUAGGCGGCCCGCCAAGUCCCGUGUGAAAGCCCCCGGCUCAACCGGGGAACGGCGCGGGAAACUAGCAGGCUUGAGUUCGGGAGAGGGAAGCGGAAUUCCGGGUGUAGCGGUGAAAUGCGCAGAUAUCCGGAGGAACACCGGUGGCGAAGGCGGCUUCCUGGACCGACACUGACGCUGAGGCGCGAAAGCUAGGGGAGCAAACGGG
rnacentral:rRNA from 1 species